AAAACUUUCAACAAUGGAUCUCUUGGUUCCGGCAUCGAUGAAGAACGCAGCGAAAUGCGAUAACUAAUGUGAAUUGCAGAAUUCAGUGAAUCAUCGAGUCUUUGAACGCACAUUGCGCCCCCUGGUAUUCCGGGGGGCAUGCCUGUCCGAGCGUCAUUUCUCCCC
rnacentral:rRNA from 1 species